UUUAAGCAGUGAGUGGAGAUGAAGCACUGUGACUAUUUUGACUACUGGGGUCAUGGAACUAAAGUCACGGUAACUACAAACACAGUUGCAUCACCGACUCUGUUCCCUUUGCUUCAGUGCAAACCUGGGUCUGCAAGUACAGUCACUGUUGGUUGUCUUGCAAACGACUUCUACCCAAAGAGUCUUACUUUCCAGUGGACUGAUGCCAGUGGUUCCACCCUGACUUCUGUACAAUAUCCUCCAACUGAGAAAAACAACAAAUAUUCAGGAGUCAGUUUGCUCCAAGUAUCAAAAUCUGACUGGGAUUCAAGGAGGUCUUUUAAUUGUUCUGUGACUCACUCUGGAGGCCAAACAAGCGUGAAAUUGGAAAAAGAGGUCUUACUUCCUCCAAAGCUGACUUUGCUAGCAGUGCCAGGAGGAGACGCUCAGGCCCUGGUGUGUACCAUUCAGGAUUUUCUUCCAAAUCAAUUGUCGGUCAAAUGGAAAAAGAAUGCAAACUAUGUGAAUGGCAUUAAUUGGGCCCCCAAACUGAUUGGAGACGUCUAUUCAGCUGUCAGUGUGCUGAAGGUAGAGAACAAAGACUGGGACAGUGAAGCUGUUUACACAUGUGAGGUGGUGCACCAAGAAACAUCAUAUACAAAGAAGGCCUCUAAAGCUCCUAUCACAAUGAUACUGAACCAACCAAGUCCCAAAGAAAUGUUCAACAACAACCAGGCAAAGUUGAAGUGUAUCGUUAGAGGACAGGGCACUGUGAGUGAUUUUCAUAUCACUUGGGAAAUCGAUGGACAAAUUGUGAACGACAACAUUACUGAAACUGAUCAGUCCGGCAUCAGCACGAUGGCAGUGAGUCUCCAUAAGUGGCAGACAGUCAACAAAGUGCGCUGUUCUGCCACUAGAGACAAUAAUACAUCAGUUAUUCAAGAUCUGAUUGUCCAAAAAGGAGAUGGGAGCGAGCCAAAAGUAACAGUCCACAUCCUCCCAGAGGAGGACAUCGGCAAAGCUAACUCAGCUGAGGUCACUCUGGUGUGUCUGGUCUCCAGUCGUCUGCUGCAGGAUUACUACAUCGCCUGGUUAGAACAAAAAGGACAAAAAGGCAGCACCUACACUGAUGGCAUUAACUUCCCGCCGCAGAAGACCCAACAUGGCUACUCAGUUACAAGUAUUUACACCACCACCAAGGAAAAGUGGAACCAGUACAAAAUGUUCUCCUGCCACGCCUGGCCUGCUGGUAACAGAAAGCCUAUGAAAACCAGAGAAGUGUCUAAGGCCAAGAGUAACUCGACUGAAUAUUUUACUCCAGAGUCAAAAGUGAGUUUUGCUCUAAACUGCACAGAUGAUGCCAUUGAGGAGGAUGAGUACAGCAGCCUUUGGUCCACAACCUCCUCCUUCAUAUUCCUCUUCAUAUCCUCUCUCCUCUUUAACAUGAUAUUCAGCCUGGUCAAGAUGAAGAGAGCAUAAAGGGUGAGAUGGAAGCACAUCAACGAUGACAGGUCUUCAUUUGUUUUUAUCGUCUUUUUUUUAUCUUGUUUUAAAAACAUGUACAUAAUCUGAAAUACACUGUAUAUUUGCUCAAUUAAAUGGUCAUCAUUUAUAAUGAUUAACCAAUGGAUUGCUCUGUAACCUGUGGAAAAAUAAAAAUAAAAUUGCAAUUCUUAAAUCAUU